GGAUCCUGAGUACGGCGGAACACGAGAAAUUCCGUCGGAAUCCGCGGGGACCAUCCCGCAAGGCUAAAUACUCCCUAGUGACCGAUAGUGAACCAGUACCGUGAGGGAAAGGUGAAAAGCACCCCGGAAGGGGAGUGAAAUAGAUCCUGAAACCGUGUGCCUACAACAAGUCAAAGCUCGUUAAUGAGUGAUGGCGUGCCUUUUGUAGAAUGAACCGGCGAGUUACGAUUGCAUGCGAGGUUAAGUCGAAGAGACGGAGCCGCAGCGAAAGCGAGUCUGAAUAGGGCGAAUGAGUAUGUAGUCGUAGACCCGAAACCAUGUGAUCUACCCAUGUCCAGGUUGAAGGUGCGGUAAAACGCACUGGAGGACCGAACCCACGUACGUUGAAAAGUGCGGGGAUGAGGUGUGGGUAGCGGAGAAAUUCCAAACGAACUUGGAGAUAGCUGGUUCUCUCCGAAAUAGCUUUAGGGCUAGCCUCGGAAUUGAGAAUGAUGGAGGUAGAGCACUGUUUGGACUAGGGGCCCAUCUCGGGUUACCGAAUUCAGAUAAACUCCGAAUGCCAUUCAUUUAUAUCCGGGAGUCAGACUGCGAGUGAUAAGAUCCGUAGUCGAAAGGGAAACAGCCCAGACCACCAGCUAAGGUCCCAAAAUAUAUGUUAAGUGGAAAAGGAUGUGGGGUUGCACAGACAACUAGGAUGUUGGCUUAGAAGCAGCCACCAUUUAAAGAGUGCGUAAUAGCUCACUAGUCGAGUGACCCUGCGCCGAAAAUGUACCGGGGCUAAACAUAUUACCGAAGCUGUGGACUACACCAUUAGGUGUAGUGGUAGGAGAGCGUUCUAAGGGCGUUGAAGGUCGAUCGUGAGGACGGCUGGAGCGCUUAGAAGUGAGAAUGCCGGUAUGAGUAGCGAAAGACAGGUGAGAAUCCUGUCCACCGUAUGACUAAGGUUUCCUGGGGAAGGCUCGUCCGCCCAGGGUUAGUCGGGACCUAAGCCGAGGCCGAUAGGCGUAGGCGAUGGACAACAGGUUGAUAUUCCUGUACCAGUUGUUUUUGUUUGAGCAAUGGAGGGACGCAGUAGGCUAAGGAAUGCAUGCGAUUGGAAGUGCAUGUCCAAGCAAUGAGUCUUGAGUAGAGUUAAAUGCUUUACUCUCUAAGGACAAGUUGUGACGGGGAGCGAAAUAAUAGUAGCGAAGUUCCUGAUGUCACACUGCCAAGAAAAGCUUCUAGUGAGAAAACAACUGCCCGUACCGUAAACCGACACAGGUAGUCGAGGAGAGUAUCCUAAGGUGAGCGAGCGAACUCUCGUUAAGGAACUCGGCAAAAUGACCCCGUAACUUCGGGAGAAGGGGUGCUGACUUCGGUCAGCCGCAGUGAAUAGGCCCAAGCGACUGUUUAUCAAAAACACAGGUCUCUGCAAAAUCGUAAGAUGAAGUAUAGGGGCUGACGCCUGCCCGGUGCUGGAAGGUUAAGAGGAUGGGUUAGCUUCGGCGAAGCUCAGAAUUGAAGCCCCAGUAAACGGCGGCCGUAACUAUAACGGUCCUAAGGUAGCGAAAUUCCUUGUCGGGUAAGUUCCGACCCGCACGAAAGGCGUAACGAUUUGGGCACUGUCUCAACGAGAGACUCGGUGAAAUUUUAGUACCUGUGAAGAUGCAGGUUACCCGCGACAGGACGGAAAGACCCCAUGGAGCUUUACUGUAGUUUGAUAUUGAGUGUUUGUACCACAUGUACAGGAUAGGUAGGAGCCGAUGAGACCGGAACGCUAGUUUCGGAGGAGGCGCUGGUGGGAUACUACCCUUGUGUUAUGAACCC
rnacentral:rRNA from 1 species